GCUUACGGCCACACCGCCUGGUUCACGCCCGAUCUCGUUUGAUCUCGGAAGCUAAGAUAGGGUGGGCCUGGUUAGUACUUGGAUGGGAGACCGCCUGGGAAUACCAGGUGCUUGUAAGAU
ensembl:rRNA 5S_rRNA 5S ribosomal RNA